rnacentral:rRNA from 1 species
AUUGAACGCUGGCGGCAGGCCUAACACAUGCAAGUCGAGCGGAUGAAGGGAGCUUGCUCCUGGAUUCAGCGGCGGACGGGUGAGUAAUGCCUAGGAAUCUGCCUGGUAGUGGGGGAUAACGUCCGGAAACGGGCGCUAAUACCGCAUACGUCCUGAGGGAGAAAGUGGGGGAUCUUCGGACCUCACGCUAUCAGAUGAGCCUAGGUCGGAUUAGCUAGUUGGUGGGCUAAAGGCCUACCAAGGCGACGAUCCGUAACUGGUCUGAGAGGAUGAUCAGUCACACUGGAACUGAGACACGGUCCAGACUCCUACGGGAGGCAGCAGUGGGGAAUAUUGGACAAUGGGCGAAAGCCUGAUCCAGCCAUGCCGCGUGUGUGAAGAAGGUCUUCGGAUUGUAAAGCACUUUAAGUUGGGAGGAAGGGCAGUAAGUUAAUACCUUGCUGUUUUGACGUUACCAACAGAAUAAGCACCAGCUAACUUCGUG